GAAGCAGCCACCAUUUAAAGAGUGCGUAAUAGCUCACUAGUCGAGUGACUCUGCGCCGAAAAUGUACCGGGGCUAAAUACACCACCGAAGCUGCGGAUUGAUACCAAUGGUAUCAGUGGUAGGGGAGCGUUCUAAGGACAGUGAAGUCAGACCGGAAGGACUGGUGGAGUGCUUAGAAGUGAGAAUGCCGGUAUGAGUAGCGAAAGACGGGUGAGAAUCCCGUCCACCGAAUGCCUAAGGUUUCCUGAGGAAGGCUCGUCCGCUCAGGGUUAGUCAGGACCUAAGCCGAGGCCGACAGGCGUAGGCGAUGGACAACAGGUUGAUAUUCCUGUACCACCUCUUUAUCGUUUGAGCAAUGGAGGGACGCAGAAGGAUAGAAGAAGCGUGCGAUUGGUUGUGCACGUCCAAGCAGUUAGGCUGAUAAGUAGGCAAAUCCGCUUAUCGUAAAGGCUGAGCUGUGAUGGGGAAGCUCCUUAUGGAGCGAAGUCUUUGAUUCCCCGCUGCCAAGAAAAGCUUCUAGCGAGAUAAAAGGUGCCUGUACCGCAAACCGACACAGGUAGGCGAGGAGAGAAUCCUAAGGUGUGCGAGAGAACUCUGGUUAAGGAACUCGGCAAAAUGACCCCGUAACUUCGGGAGAAGGGGUGCUUUCUUAACGGAAAGCCGCAGUGAAUAGGCCCAAGCGACUGUUUAGCAAAAACACAGCUCUCUGCGAAGCCGUAAGGCGAAGUAUAGGGGGUGACACCUGCCCGGUGCUGGAAGGUUAAGGAGAGGGGUUAGCGUAAGCGAAGCUCUGAACUGAAGCCCCAGUAAACGGCGGCCGUAACUAUAACGGUCCUAAGGUAGCGAAAUUCCUUGUCGGGUAAGUUCCGACCC
rnacentral:rRNA from 1 species